GUUAGCGGAUGAAUCUGUUUCAAAUGGUUGCUCAUCAGUUAGUGAGUGCGAAGCAGAAGUAUUAUCGUUGUUCAAAGCAUUUCCACAAGAAGAAACGGAUGGAGCAGGUGAAUGGCAUAAUGAAUUUAGUGAUUCCCUAGAUUUUUGAGGAGAAUAGCAAUCUGAACUCAUUGAGGAGGUUUUAAAUAACUCAUUGGGACGUUUGGAUGUCAUCAAUCGAUUUGGAUUUACUCGGGGAAAAUUAAUAAGUCGCUCAUCCUCUAGUGAAGGAGAAGAUACAUUAUUGAAAGAAAAUGAAUUUCGAUGCUGCCUAUUUAAACUGGUGGGAGAUUCAAGUAUCGGAGAAUGAACAGAGCCAACAGAAGAGUUUUGAGAAUUAGUAAACGAUCCUACAAUUUUUGAUGAUUUUUGCAGCUGGUGGUCCAUGGCCUUAUUCAAACGUUAGUAAUUUAAAUUAAUUAAGUAACAAGAGAUAUCACAUUUUAUUUCAUAUUUAAAAAAGGAGAAUCCAAGUAUUGAAAUCACUUACCUCUUUCAACUUUUCCAAGUGAGAAUUAGAACCAACGUUAUUGUUGAUUUGAUCGUCAGGUGGCCUCAUU